rnacentral:ncRNA from 2 species
UAAACCUGCUAGGGGUGCCGUCACACGGCUGAGAGAGAAGUUCCCUUCUCAACCCUUCGAACCUGACCUGGGUCAUACCAGCGGAGGGAAGCAAUCGGAAGCGUCU